AGAGUUUGAUCAUGGCUCAGAUUGAACGCUGGCGGCAGGCUUAACACAUGCAAGUCGAGCGGGGAUAGGGUGCUUGCACCUGAUUCCUAGCGGCGGACGGGUGAGUAAUGCUUAGGAAUCUGCCUAUUAGUGGGGGACAACGUUCCGAAAGGGACGCUAAUACCGCAUACGUCCUACGGGAGAAAGCAGGGGAUCUUCGGACCUUGCGCUAAUAGAUGAGCCUAAGUCGGAUUAGCUAGUUGGUGGGGUAAAGGCCUACCAAGGCGACGAUCUGUAGCGGGUCUGAGAGGAUGAUCCGCCACACUGGGACUGAGACACGGCCCAGACUCCUACGGGAGGCAGCAGUGGGGAAUAUUGGACAAUGGGGGCAACCCUGAUCCAGCCAUGCCGCGUGUGUGAAGAAGGCCUUUUGGUUGUAAAGCACUUUAAGCGAGGAGGAGGCUUACCUGGUUAAUACCCGGGAUAAGUGGACGUUACUCGCAGAAUAAGCACCGGCUAACUCUGUGCCAGCCGCCGC
rnacentral:rRNA from 1 species